rnacentral:lncRNA from 1 species
CAUGUAAUUCUUUAGGGGUUUUUUAUGUGUGUUUUUUUGCAAAUUGCACAAAAUGCAUUUGCAAAUUUUACACCUCAUUAAAGGAUGACUAGUAUGUUAGGGACAUAUAUUUUCUGGAGUCUUUAAGAAUAAUUUAAUCAUGACCUGGAACGAACUUUUAGUGCUUCUGAAAUGUAAAUUAAUGACAGACAAAACCAACCUUGUGAAAAAUAUUGUUAAUGCAAAAAAGUGUUCCAAAAUUGUUUGUGUUUGAUUAUGAGAAAACUUGAUCAAUUGCUUGGUUGUUUAGUCAAUCUUCGAUUAUUUCAAUUAAUCGGAGGCCUACUAGUGUGCAUCAUGAACUGAUUCAAGAAAAACAAGAGUCAUUUCUUUCACUUAUAUUUCAAUUUUGAUUUUAUACAAGAUCAUUUUUUGUUGACUUGUGAAAAUAUGAAUUAAUUUCUACCCUGUGUUAAUCUUGGAUUUCUUGUAUAAAACUUUACUUUUCUUCGUCUGAUCAAACACUAUUCAUAUUGCGGAAAAUACAUGGACAUUAUGUUCUCAAAGUAAUGUGGAUAAUCUUUUGAAAAGGAAAUUCUUAGCAUCUCAGAAAUUGUAAUACAUAGUUUGAAUUGACUAAAGAACAUUUUUUACAGAAUUAAACCACAUAUAUAUUGACGUUUAACUGCCUCCUCAUCUCAAACAUACUACAUUGCACAUGUGAUCAAAAACCUUGUAGCCUUCUGUACAGCUACAUUUUCCAUAACUUGCAGCCGAUUUCUCCAGCUGGUGAUGUAAAAUAUGUUGUGAGCUACAGUACCUACAUGCUUACGUUGCUGAUUGCCAGCAGAUCCUUUCAAUAAGAUAAUAAAAUAUAUCGUGAUAGAUAUGAAUUCUUGACAUCAGAAUGUAUUUAAUCUUCUCAAAUUAUUAAUUUUGGUGGUUCAAUAAUUAAAAUGGGAAGAUUUGCUGUUAUAAACUAACAGUAGAACAAAUGGCUUAUGCAUAUCACAGUAAACAUCAUCUCAUCCAGAGGCAAUUUUGUGCAGGGAGUCUAGUCUGGAAUUGGAUGGCUGUAAUGGCUACACAACAUGGCUGUUUUGCUUUGAGGAGAUUGCUGCCUGUAGGAGCAACAGCUUCACUGCUCCAGAUUCAACCACUCUUUAUUUGUUCAGAAAUAGUGCAGACCACUAGAAAUUCAUUUCACUUUUUUACACUUCAUUUGAUGAAGUGCUCACAAAUCUACACAACAGCAUUUUAGUAGAGUUUGAGAUAUGAUGCUGAGAAGGUAACAUUCAUAUGUUUAAACCUUUUGUCAUAUUGGUCUUGAUAAAACUGGUUGUAAUAAGUCAGUAAACACAAAGUUCUACAUGGGACAGUGGGGUAUCAUGGUGGUUAGAGUGUUCCUCAUCACGUCGAAGACCAGGGUUCGGUUCUCCACAUGGGUACAAUGUGUGAAGCCCAUUUCUGGUGUGCCCCCGCCAUGAUAUUGCUGGAAUAUUCUGAAAUAAUUGUGUAAAACCUCACUCAUUCUUUUCUACAUAGAUGUGAAUGUCUGAGUAUUUGAGAACAUUAUGGGAGGGUUGGAUGGGCUGAACUCUUUGGAUAGUAGUUGGAGAAGGGAUUGUCAGGACCAGUAGAUGGAGAGGGAUCGUAAAGGCCAGUAGUUGAAGGACUGAUCGUUAGGGCCAAUAGUUCAAGGAGUCAUCGUUAGGGCCAGUAGUUGGAUGAGUGAUUGUCAGGGCCAGUAGAUGGAGGAGUGAUUGUCGGGGCCAGUAGUUGGAUGAGUGAUUGUCAGGGCUAGUAGAUGGAGGAGUGAUCGUCAGGGCCAGGAGAUGGAGGAGUGAUUGUUAGUGCCAGUAGUUCAAGGAGUCAUCGUUAGGACCAGUAGAUGGAGGAGUGAUUGUCAGGACCAGUAGAUGGAGGAGGGAUCGUUAAGGCCAGUAGUUGAAGGACUGAUCGUUAGGGCCAGUAGUACAAGGAGUCAUCGUUAGGACCAGUAGUUGGAGGAGUGAUUGUCAGGGCCAGUAGAUGGAGGAGUCAUCGUUAGGACCAGUAGAUGGAGGAGUGAUUGUCAGGGCCAGUAGAUGGAGGAGUGAUUGUCAGGGCAAGUAGAUGGAGGAGUGAUCGUUGGGGCCAGUAGAUGGAGGAGGAUUUUUUGUCGGGGCCAGUAUUUGGAGGAGGGAUUGUCAGGUCUAGUAGUUGGAGGAGGGAUUGUCAGAGCUGGUAGUUGGAUGAGGGAUUGUCGGGGCCAGUAUUUGGAGGAGGGAUUGUCAGGGCUAGUAGAUGGAGGAGUGAUUGUCGGGGCCAGUAGAUGGAGGAGUUUUUGUCGGGCUAGUAGUUGGAGGAGUGAUUGUGGGGGCUAGUAGUUAGAGGAGUAAUGAUCGUCGGGGCUAGUUGUUGGAUGGAUGAUUCUAAUGUCUAAUCUUUGGAUGGAUGAAAAAGAGUGUUCGUUUAUUGCUUUUUAUGUAGUAUAAUGUAAGUAGCUCUAGUCUCAAAUUUUUCGAAAGUUUGGUUGAAAAUUAUUAUAUUUUGGCCUUAUCUGAUCAGAAUAUUGAUGUGUAGACAGUCAGUAUGUCAUAUGUUCAUACAUCUCAUUAACAUAUUUGCUCAAGUCUAACUCAGCUAUAUGGUUUUGUUUUCAAGUAGCCGUUUCUAACAUUUUGUAUAGAAGGACUGGAUGUGUUAGAGGAGCUUCAUUGAUACUGGGAUAUUAUAACAACAUAUAGAUGUAGAUAUUAACAUCAUAUCGCAAUAGUUUGCAUGCUCAGCGGAGAAACUAAAAUUGAUAUUUUAUGUGUAUUUGGAUCCAUGGGUCCUUGUUUUGAAAUUCAUAUGAGAUUCUUUAAGUCUUGAAAAUGUAACCUAUUUGAUAAAACUGAAGAUUUUAUAUGCAACUAUAGAAUUCAUUAAGAAAGUUUAAUCUUUAAAGCUGCUUUAGGAAAAGUUCAGGAGAUUUUCCAUUUUCAGCCAUUGUGGAAUGACUGCUAUGUCUCAAAUCUUCAUCUUCUUGUAGACAUGUUUGUACUGCGUUGGAUGAAGGAUUGCAUUAUAACCAGUGUGUUGUAUU